rnacentral:lncRNA from 1 species
CAACAGGCAUGGAAGAAUGUUUUGAAUGUAGUAUUAAAAUGUAUUGGCAGAGAAUAGUACUAAAAGAAAGCAUUUAGAGAGAGAAUAAUGUAUAAUGCAUAAUGCAGCAUGCGAUUGUGAAAAUCACAGUUGGCCCUUCUUUAUGAACAUGCCUUCUCACUCUUAUCAACUCAAUUAACAAUUCUCUAAUUACUUCCACUUCCAUUUAAUUUAUCACUUUCAUUUAUUCCAUACAAAGUACUACUUAUGCAGGCAUCUCAUAUCUCUCACUCUAGCAAAGAUCCAC